rnacentral:ncRNA from 1 species
AAACCUCACCUGGCCCGGACAUGGAAAGGAUUGACAGAUUGAGAGCUCUUUCUCGAUUCUGUGGGUGGUGGUGCAUGGCCAUUCUUAGUUGGUGGAGUGAUUUGUCUGGUUAAUUCCGAUAACGAACGAGACUCUGGCAUGCUAACAUGCUCAAAUAAAUUUGUUAGUCUCUAAAGUGCCACAAGUACUCCUUUUCUUUUGAAUAUAAGUUAAUUACUCUAAUAAUUGUUUGAGGUGAUUGCCCAUACAUAUCCAUC